UACGUAGGCAGCAAGCGUUGUUCGGAAUUACUGGGCGUAAAGAGUGUGUAGGCGGUGCUCUAAGUCUGUUGUGAAAAUCUCCCGGCUUAACCGGGAGGGUGCGGCGGAAACUGGAGUGCUUGAGGGUGGGAGAGGGAUGUGGAAUUCCAGGUGUAGCGGUGAAAUGCGUAGAUAUCUGGAGGAACACCGGUGGCGAAGGCGGCAUCCUGGACCGGUAUUGACGCUGAGGCGCGAAAGCCAGGGGAGCAAACGGG
rnacentral:rRNA from 1 species